GCUUAACACAUGCAAGUCGAGGGGCAGCAUGGUCUUAGCUUGCUAAGGCCGAUGGCGACCGGCGCACGGGUGAGUAACACGUAUCCAACCUGCCGUCUACUCUUGGACAGCCUUCUGAAAGGAAGAUUAAUACAAGAUGGCAUCAUGAGUCCGCAUGUUCACAUGAUUAAAGGUAUUCCGGUAGACGAUGGGGAUGCGUUCCAUUAGAUAGUAGGCGGGGUAACGGCCCACCUAGUCUUCGAUGGAUAGGGGUUCUGAGAGGAAGGUCCCCCACAUUGGAACUGAGACACGGUCCAAACUCCUACGGGAGGCAGCAGUGAGGAAUAUUGGUCAAUGGGCGAGAGCCUGAACCAGCCAAGUAGCGUGAAGGAUGACUGCCCUAUGGGUUGUAAACUUCUUUUAUAAAGGAAUAAAGUCGGGUAUGGAUACCCGUUUGCAUGUACUUUAUGAAUAAGGAUCGGCUAACUCCGUGCCAGCAGCCGCGGUAAUACGGAGGAUCCGAGCGUUAUCCGGAUUUAUUGGGUUUAAAGGGAGCGUAGAUGGAUGUUUAAGUCAGUUGUGAAAGUUUGCGGCUCAACCGUAAAAUUGCAGUUGAUACUGGAUAUCUUGAGUGCAGUUGAGGCAGGCGGAAUUCGUGGUGUAGCGGUGAAAUGCUUAGAUAUCACGAAGAACUCCGAUUGCGAAGGCAGCCUGCUAAGCUGCAACUGACAUUGAGGCUCGAAAGUGUGGGUAUCAAACAGGAUUAGAUACCCUGGUAGUCCACACGGUAAACGAUGAAUACUCGCUGUUUGCGAUAUACUGCAAGCGGCCAAGCGAAAGCGUUAAGUAUUCCACCUGGGGAGUACGCCGGCAACGGUGAAACUCAAAGGAAUUGACGGGGGCCCGCACAAGCGGAGGAACAUGUGGUUUAAUUCGAUGAUACGCGAGGAACCUUACCCGGGCUUAAAUUGCAGAUGAAUUACGGUGAAAGCCGUAAGCCGCAAGGCAUCUGUGAAGGUGCUGCAUGGUUGUCGUCAGCUCGUGCCGUGAGGUGUCGGCUUAAGUGCCAUAACGAGCGCAACCCUUGUUGUCAGUUACUAACAGGUUCCGCUGAGGACUCUGACAAGACUGCCAUCGUAAGAUGUGAGGAAGGUGGGGAUGACGUCAAAUCAGCACGGCCCUUACGUCCGGGGCUACACACGUGUUACAAUGGGGGGUACAGAGGGCCGCUACCACGCGAGUGGAUGCCAAUCCCCAAAACCUCUCUCAGUUCGGACUGGAGUCUGCAACCCGACUCCACGAAGCUGGAUUCGCUAGUAAUCGCGCAUCAGCCACGGCGCGGUGAAUACGUUCCCGGGCCUUGUACACACCGCCCGUCAAGCCAUGGGAGCCGGGGGUACCUGAAGUGCGUAACCGCGAGGAGCGCCCUAGGGUAAAACUGGUGACUGGGGCUAAGUCGUA
rnacentral:rRNA from 2 species